rnacentral:telomerase_RNA from 1 species
GCACCCUGCGCUCGCCUCGCCAGGGCUGACUCUCAGCUCUCCAACCCUAAAUAAGUCCGUUCUCGUCUCUCAUGAGAUGUCCACCAACCCAUUUCCCCGCCUUUGCCCCACCGUUCGCGGCGCUUGCCCUUCAAGCGAAAGCAACGGUGCGCCGCGGCUGCGCCCCCCUGUGGCCCGCCGCCCUCGUGGGUUGGGCAGGCUUGCCGCCCAGCACGCGGCGAGAGAGCCUAGAGCUCGCUCCUGCCCGAGUUCCGGAGGGCGGCAAUGGGUGCUGCGCGUUUUGGCUGUAAGGUGCCGCGCUUUUGC